GAUGAACGCUGGCGGCGUGCCUAAUACAUGCAAGUCGAGCGAAUGGAUUAAGAGCUUGCUCUUAUGAAGUUAGCGGCGGACGGGUGAGUAACACGUGGGUAACCUGCCCAUAAGACUGGGAUAACUCCGGGAAACCGGGGCUAAUACCGGAUAACAUUUUGAACCGCAUGGUUCGAAAUUGAAAGGCGGCUUCGGCUGUCAUUUAUGGAUGGACCCGCGUCGCAUUAGCUAGUUGGUGAGGUAACGGCUCACCAAGGCAACGAUGCGUAGCCGACCCGAGAGGGUGAUCGGCCACACUGGGACUGAGACACGGCCCAGACUCCUACGGGAGGCAGCAGUAGGGAAUCUUCCGCAAUGGACGAAAGUCUGACGGAGCAACGCCGCGUGAGUGAUGAAGGCUUUCGGGUCGUAAAACUCUGUUGUUAGGGAAGAACAAGUGCUAGUUGAAUAAGCUGGCACCUUGACGGUACCUAACCAGAAAGCCACGGCUAACUACGUGCCAGCAGCCGCGGUAA
rnacentral:rRNA from 1 species